rnacentral:rRNA from 1 species
GACGAACGCUGGCGGCGUGCUUAACACAUGCAAGUCGAACGGAAAGGCCCUGCUUUUGUGGGGUGCUCGAGUGGCGAACGGGUGAGUAACACGUGAGUAACCUGCCCUUGACUUUGGGAUAACUUCAGGAAACUGGGGCUAAUACCGGAUAGGAGCUCCUGCUGCAUGGUGGGGGUUGGAAAGUUUCGGCGGUUGGGGAUGGACUCGCGGCUUAUCAGCUUGUUGGUGGGGUAGUGGCUUACCAAGGCUUUGACGGGUAGCCGGCCUGAGGGGGUGACCGGCCACAUUGGGACUGAGAUACGGCCCAGACUCCUACGGGAGGCAGCAGUGGGGAAUAUUGCACAAUGGGCGGAAGACUGAUGCAGCAACGCCGCGUGCGGGAUGACGGCCUUCGGGUUGUAAACCGCUUUCGCCUGUGACGAAGCGUGAGUGACGGUAAUGGGUAAAGAAGCACCGGCUAACUACGUG